rnacentral:rRNA from 1 species
GACGAACGCUGGCGGCGUGCUUAACACAUGCAAGUCGAACGAAGUGGCGAACGGGUGAGUAACGCGUAAUCAACCUGCCCUUCAGAGGGGGACAACAGUUGGAAACGACUGCUAAUACCGCAUACUGAAGGAGGGAAUUGCGGCUGAUUAGCUAGUUGGUGGGGUAACGGCUCACCUGGUCGACGAUCCCUAGCUGGUCUGAGAGGAUGACCAGCCACACUGGAACUGAGACACGGUCCAGACUCCUACGGGAGGCAGCAGUGGGGAAUAUUGCACAAUGGGCGCAAGCCUGAUCCAGCCAUGCCGCGUGUCUGAAGAAGGCCUUCGGGUUGUAAAGGACUUUUGUCAGGGAAGCGGUACCUGAAGAAUAAGCACCGGCUAACUACGUGCCAGCCGCCGCGGUAAUAC